rnacentral:rRNA from 1 species
ACUGCUCAGUAACACGUGGAUAACCUGCCCUAUGGUGGAGAAUAACCCCGGGAAACUGGGGAUAAUACUCCAUAGAUUAGAGAUACUGGAAUGUUCUUUAAUCGAAAGUUGAGGCGCCAUAGGAUGGAUCUGCGGUCGAUUAGGUUGUUGUUGGGGUAACGGCCCAACAAGCCUGUGAUCGAUACGGGUUGUGGGAGCAAGAGCCCGGAGAUGGAAUCUGAGACACGAUUCCAGGCCCUACGGGGCGCAGCAGGCGCGAAAACUUUACAAUGCAGGAAACUGUGAUAAGGGAACCCCGAGUGCCCGUAUACGCGGGCUGUCCAGGUGUCUAAAAAGCAUCUGAAGAAAGGGCCGGGCAAGACCGGUGCCAGCCGCCGCGGUAAUACCGGCGGCUCGAGUGGCGGCCACUAUUAUUGGGCUUAAAGCGUCCGUAGCUGGACUCUUAAGUCUCUUGGGAAAUCCGCCGGCUUAACCGACGGGCGUCUAAGAGAUACUGAGAGUCUAGGGACCGGGAGAGGUGAGAGGUACUCCGGGGGUAGGAGUGAAAUCCUGUAAUCCCCGGGGGACCACCGAUGGCGAAGGCAUCUCACCAGAACGGCUCCGACAGUGAGGGACGAAAGCUGGGGGAGCGAACCGGAUUAGAUACCCGGGUAGUCCCAGCCGUAAACUAUGCGCGUUAGGUGUACUGGUGACCACGAGUCACUGGGGUGCCGAAGGGAAACCGUGAAACGUGCCGCCUGGGAAGUACGGUCGCAAGGCUGAAACUUAAAGGAAUUGUCGGGGGAG